rnacentral:misc_RNA from 1 species
UUGAUGAAGGAUCCUGCCAGGACUGAAAAAUAUUUGGUUGUUGGAGUGGCAAACUCCAUGCUGCAAAGAGUUGAUUCAGGAAGCAGCAUUGAUUAUAUUGAAUCUGAAAAGAAGUGGGACAGCACAAGAAAGAAAGAGUAGGGCUAUUUCAGCACUCAAAUGCCACCAAUUCAAUUUUUCAUUGUUGCAAACGUUAUUAGAACCAAUCAUUGACCCAAAAAUUUUAGGUAACAUCAGAUAUAUCUAAAGUUUUGUUAUCAUAGAAAGUUACGAUACUUUAAAUUAUGGGGCUAGCAAGAAAGACUCUUGGUUAAAG